GAGAAUGACACAUGGACACUCAAUCAAGCCUUCAGUUUCCAGCCUCCCCACCGAACUGGACACUUUCAGAGAAAUUAAUUCUUACUUGGAGAGAAUGAAAUCAGCACAACAGAGGAAAGCAGAGCCUGGAGACAGAGAACUGAUGACAAGACUUGAGCUUGAUCCAGCUCCAUCUAAAGCCAGAACGCCCGUGGACUUCCAGCUGGAUCUUCAUUCGAUUUCACUGACGCCUGGCCAAGUGUGUGUACUCAACUCCACGACUGAGAGCCCUGGCUUCUGCAAGAUACUCUCCUCAUCACACUCACUCUUCUGA
rnacentral:lncRNA from 1 species